rnacentral:rRNA from 1 species
AGUGAACGCUGGCGGUAGGCCUAACACAUGCAAGUCGAACGGCAGCACAUGUAUAGCUUGCUCUUACGGGUGGCGAGUGGUGGACGGGUGAGGAAUACAUCGGAAUCUAUUUCUGCGUGGGUGAGUACGUAGGGAAACUUACGCUAAUACCGCAUAUGUCCUGCGGGUGAAAGCAGGGGAUCUUCGGUCCGUUUGUUCGUGAAUGAGUCGAUGUCGGAUUAGCUAGUUGGCGGGGUAAAGGCCCACCAAGGCGACGAUCCGUAGCUGGUCUGAGAGGAUGAUCAGCCACACUGGAACUGAGACACGGUCCAGACUCCUACGGGAGCACGCAGUGGGCACACUUGGACAAUGGGCGCAAGCCUGAUCCAGCCAUACCGCGUGGGAGAAGGAGGAAUUCGGGUUGUAAAGCCCUUUUGUUGGGAAAGACAAAAAACAGGUUAAUACCCCGCUGUUCUGACGGUACCCAAAGAAUAAGCACCGGCUAACUUCGUG